UACAGAGGGUGCGAGCGUUGUCCGGAAUCACUGGGCGUAAAGGGCGCGUAGGUGGUGGCUUAAGCGUGCGGUGAAAGCUCGGGGCUCAACCCCGAGUCGGCCGUGCGAACUGAGUCGCUUGAGCACUGUAGAGGCAGGCGGAAUUCCGGGUGUAGCGGUGGAAUGCGUAGAGAUCCGGAAGAACACCGGUGGCGAAGGCGGCCUGCUGGGCAGUAGCUGACACUGAGGCGCGACAGCGUGGGGAGCAAACAGG
rnacentral:rRNA from 1 species